CACGCCUCUUGUGGACAUGAUGAAGACUCUGGAAGAAAGUGUGGACCAAAUGAAACAUCCGAUUGCAGAAGUUGCAAACAACAAAAAUGAAAUUAAGGUUAAAAAAAAAUGUAAAAAAAAUGAGAGAAAUGGAUCAAAUUGACUAAUUGUGGACACGCUGGACAAGAAGGCAGCAGAAGAAGCCAAGACUACCGUGGCCUUCUCAGCGGUGAUGGAUGAAGUAGAUGAAAUCUUUGAGGCCGGUAUUAAUAAUCAAGUACUGGUCUACAACGACGUGAGGAUCAACGUGGGUGACGGCUAUGACAACAGCACAAGUGUUUUCACAGCCCCCAUCAAGGGUCUCUACUUCAUCACGCUCACCUGCAGUGCACCAUCAGGACGAAAUGUUGCAUAUGUGAUGAAGAACAACCAAGACCAGAUGAUCAGAGUAUGUGAAGACAACCAGGGUGAUUACGGCAUGACGACCAACAGCAUGGUUUUGGAACUGGAGGUGGGAGACGACCUCCGGGUUGUGUUGCAGUCUGGUUGCAAAAUCUACACCGACUAUUAUGAAAGCACUUUCAGCAUCUUC